AUGGGGCGCGGCAAGGUGGAGCUGAAGCGGAUCGACAACAAGAGCAGCCGGCAGGUGACGUUCGCCAAGCGCCGCAACGGGCUGCUCAAGAAGGCGUACGAGCUGUCGGUGCUCUGCGACGCCGAGGUCGCGCUCAUCAUCUUCUCCACCCGCGGCCGCCUCUUCGAGUUCUCCACAUCCUCAUGGUACCACCACAUCUGA
rnacentral:rRNA from 1 species